rnacentral:lncRNA from 1 species
CUGCUUCUGAGGCAGCUGGCUUUUCAGGCAGCAACUGGGACAGAUUUCCUGAAGAAUUUGCUUCUAAUUAAUGGUAACACCACUUUUUUUUUUCCUAAUUAAAAAAAAAAAAAAAGGCUUUGUACUGUCCCUCUGUCCCUCUGAGCAGAGGGUGAGUUUCCCAUCUUCAGAUCAGAUUAGGUGUAUCUGAAGGAUACUUGCUUGGAAUGGCAUAUCAUAAGAGGUGGUAACUGAUAAUGGGGGUAAGUCCUGUGUAAGGCACUAACAUAACACUGACUAUUGUACUGUCAGAUGAAUGACAGGCAAAGACAAUAUGAGCUGUUGAAAUACAUGUGGCAGAGCAUAGCUUGCUGCUAGUUUUUGCUGUGUUUGUGAGGAAACAUUGAUAAGCUUUGCACUGCAUUCCUCUGAAGUUGCUGCAAGUUUUGCCUGCUAUCCACUGCUAUGAGGAAAAUCAAAGGAAAAUGAAGCCAAGCCACUAGAGGAUAUGGCUAUUUAUUUGUUGUAAGCUAGCCAAUGAUAGCUGGGAAAAGGAGUACAUAAAAUAUGGAAACUUGCUCCAAGAAGCAACCAACAUAUCUGCUGCUGUGAACCCAAGAAAACAUGUCCUUGCCACUUGGCCAAACCUUACAAAGUUCUUGGACUGGAUUGAGGCUCUCUGUGAGGUAUUCAUGCUAGAAGAAAAAUAUUUUAGACCACUUUUAAAAACUCAGACCUAGCCUGCCUCACAAAUUAAGGGGGGUGCUGCAUGGUUGGCAGUGUUGGCACAAAGUGCACUAACAUGGGGAGAGCUUGGGUUUUGCACAGGAGCAACACAUCACUACAGAAGAGGUUCCUUUUUAUAGUGGAUCUAGGAACGACAACUGUGGUACAGCAUAUGGAUGACCCGCUUUGUGUUUCAUCACACAGGAUGAAAAAGCCAGCUGACCUUCUGUAUCCAGUCAAACUCCUGCUUCAGAUGAUGUUAUGUCCACUUUAAAUACCAAGCUAUUUUUUAAGCAUCAUGUCUCCUAGGCGCAGCUGCUCUGCCUCUGGUAUCAGGAAACUACAGCCCCCAGGAACCUCUGCUCUUAUAGGGCUGCUGCUCUGUACUAUAUAGGACCACUGUGAUUUGUAGACCCUCAAACACUAACAUAGAAUCAUAGAAUAUCCCAAAUUGGAAGGGACUCACAAAGGCCAUCGAGUCCAACUCCCGGUUCUACAUAGAACCAUUCAAAAUUCAAACCCAGUGGCUGAGAGCAUUGUUCAACCGCUUCUUGAGCUCCAGUAACCUGGGCCUGUGACCACUUCCCUGGGGAGCCUUCUGGUGAAAAACUUCAUCCUUAUACCCAGUCCAACCUUCCCAUGACAUAGCUCCAUGCUGUUCCUUCAGAUUCUGUCACUGUCAAAAGAGAAAAGAAAUCAGCACCUAUCCCUCUGUUCCCCUUCUGAGAAAGCUGGACACUGCAAUGAGGGCUCCCUUCAGACUCCUCUAAAGAAAAUGAUUGUGCUUUUAUUUGUUUUCUUUUUUUUAUCAUUUUUUUAAAUUUUUGUUGGGGUCUAUGUAAACAUGCAGACUGUACUUGUGGGACAGAAGGGGAUUUUGCUCCUUCUCCAAUCUCUCUUGCACAGUCAAUGUCUUCAGCCUUCAUCCUGCACCAUAGCUGAAGGUUUUUGCAUGCUAUGCACAUCAAAAAUGCUCUUGAAAAGAAAGCAACAUGGCAAAUAUGGUGUAAGUAGAUGGAAGUGAGCAGACUAAGUCAAAUCCAACCCAUCUUCCAUUAGUAUAAUUCAUGCUUUAAUGAGUAAUAAAUGAGGUGAAUUAGUGAGGUCCAGUGCUUGCCUUUGGCAGGAUUGCUAGUCCUAUAUGUCAAGAUCCACUAGAAAGAAUAAGUUUCUCCUUUUUGCAAGGGCCAGUUUAGCUCCACCCUUGACUUAGUUUUGCAGGUUUUGCUGCCAUCAGUUCCCUUUCCUCAUUUUGUCAGGAAUCUCACAAGGCGCUUCCUGAGCUUUCCCAGAUGUGCAAAAGGGAGCAACUAUUGUCCUUUUCAUAACAGGGAUCCAUACACUUUGAGCAUUUUGUUACACUGUGAGCAAACCUGCCCUCUGUCUGGGCUUCUGCCGUGACCUUGCUUACUUAUAGGGAAAAAUUCUGUUAAAUGUUUGGAAAAUUUUUCUUCUGUAAUGUUUUGCUUUACAAGGCGCAUCAUAUGUAUUCAUAAAGUUUGUCUUGCAUCUAAUAGUAACUUUUCACAUUAUUCCUCCAUGCUUUUUGUGAACAGACCUUGUUGUCAGCUCCUUAUCACUGUCAGGGUUCAAAUGUCUGUGCAGGAACUUUCUGUCUGCUUCAAGUUGAAUGUUGUUAUAUGAACCUAAGUUUCAGCAAGUAGAGCUCAGAUGUUUUCAACAAUGAACUUAGAGAAACACAACUUGUUGCCUUGCCAAUGCUUAAAAAAUAUAUAUAUAUUAUUUUUUUUUUUUAAAGUCUAGCAACUAUUUAACUAAUGCAGUCAGGUGGUAUCCUGCUGGUGUGGGCUGUGUUGCUGACUUCCUACAGAAACUGCAAAACAGUGCAAUGUGUAAGAUGCAUUAAUGACAUGCCAGGUUACAACACUGAGAGCAGGUGUUCUCAUGCCCAUGACUUUGUUUCUGGUCCUGUGUUGCAGCCCACAGAACAAUCUGACUUUCAAAAAUGCAUGACUUUAUGGUUCACUAGCUUCCUGAACCUAGGGGAAGGGAGAUUCCAGUCCAAAAACAUUCACAGAUUUCAUACAGUGAUCUCUUUUACAAGGAAAUAUUUAGAACACAGAAGUCUAUACAUUACCAGGGUGGUAAAGUGAGCACAAGUGUUAUGAUCAUUGCUUUGGAACAGCUUUUAUUAUCGCUGUUUUGUGUCAGCAGAAAAAUGAAGAACCUCAGAGUAGCCAGUGAAUUUUCCUCGUACCAGUACUCAAAUCUACGAUGGCAGUUCUUGCACCUCACAGCCCUUUCUGGCAUCAAAGCAAGGAAAGGGAUAAAAAACAGGGAUGGAAUAUAGGGUCAGAGCUUUAAACAAAACAGGGAGCAUAAAUGCAAAGCACAACUCUAGAAUAAAACCUAGACAGACCAGUAAGGUGUCAAGGCAGAGACAGGCAUGGAACAUGACAGGAACACGUAAUACCUGGGAAAAAAUUGGUAUGCAGAAGAUCUGAGGAAAAGAUACAGAGGCCUCUUCUGCCUUGAAAUGCUGGCACUACUGUUGUGGUUUGGUGAUUUUUUGUUAUCAGUUUUGCACAUCAGAACAUCAUGUGAACCAGUGGAAGUUCUGGUUCCGUUUACUGCCUCUUAUGUGCAUUUUGAGUAUUCUGAUGGGAAGGGAGGGGCAGCAUGCCUGGAGGACUUGGCGUGAAGAGGAAGUGAGGUGGAGCUCUGGACAGGACCCCGGGCGUCUCUCUCUCUCCUUCGUGGCUGGCUCAGCUCGCUUUGGAGAAGGGCACGUGCUUCCGUCGCACUUUGGGUACUCUUCUCUCUCUCAUUUUGUUUGAUUUUGUUGGAUUUAGUAAAUUACCGUUCCUCCUCAGAUCGUCGCCCGUGUGUUCCUUUUG